rnacentral:tRNA from 1 species
UGGGAUGUGGCUCAGUGGCAGAGCACUUGCCUGGCACAUAGGAAGCCCUGGGUUCAAUGCCCAGUACUACAA